GAUGAGGGGGAGAAAAAGGAAAAAUCCCCUUCGGGGGGAGGCGGCUGGAACCACAUCUCCGUUCUUCUUGCGAUGCAGCUCGGCUGUGGAUCCUGGGCGUGUGCUGGCCGUCUGAUGGUCCGGAUAGGGAUGGGCUCGCGGAGGGUUCGGAGGGGCUCCUCUGCGCCGUGAGUUGCUCGCCGCCUUUCUCCCAUUUUUCUACUGAGUCUUGGCUUGGAUUCCAGAGAUUAGAUCACAGUGGGCAUCUCACACUUUGGGUUUUCCCCUCUUUUCCUCUCUGUGAUUUGAGCUUCGGGGUUGAGAGCUUGGACUCCAACUGAGGCUUUGGCCUAAGCUCUUGCAGCACUGGAGGUAUCUUGUUGGUGCUCAGAGCUGCGCUGCCGAGGUUCGCCCGCACUGUAGAGGUGGUGCGGUUGAGGUAUUGUAUCUCCGACUUCCCUCCAUCCGACAGUAAAGUCGGUUGAUUGGAUUUCUGGGACUGCAGCAUUCGUGCUGUGCCUUGCCUCACUCUCCAGCCUUUCCAGCAUAUUCACUAUGGACGCCGCAUCGCUAGCCGCUCUUGUGUCGACUACAGGACCAUGUGCAGGAGACGGCCGCCGCGUUGAAGAAGGUGGCCAACGACAACUUGAGUACGGAGAGCACCUCUGCUACCUUGGAGCUCAAUAGAGCCCUCCUGGAGGUCGACACCAUUGCGGGGGACUUGGAGCAGCUCGUGUUCCAAGUUGAAGAUGCUCUAAGCGCCGGUGGCCAGCCCAACCAUGUUGGUCACACCGACAAUACAAGCGUGGCAGUGGAAGAGGAAGCGUCGGGCUCAAAGGACAUUGACAACGACGAUGUCGUUCUCGCUGACUGGAGCCCGGAUCAGCUACUGUGUUCGGAUGAUGGGACUCCAUGGAGUACGCCUCGUUCCUUUGUGGUGACGAUGAGCUCAUGAGUUGGGAUGAUGUUGUGCCCCCUACCCAAGAAGGCAUCAUCGGGACACCUGGACAUGUGGCAGAGGAGCAGCACCUAGAGGCAUUGGGAGAGGUCGCAGCUGCGGGUGGCCGUGGAAGCAAUUACAGCAUGCAGGAGGACCUUCUCAUUGUGUCGGCAUGGCUGAAUGUGAGCAUGGAUCCCGUAGUGGGGAGCAACCAGAGCGUAUGGGGCUUUUUGGCAGAGGAUCGAGACAUUCUUUCACGAGCACAAAACUUCGCUUCAACCCGCAAUAAGAAGUCUCUGGAGGGGAGGUGGAGGUUCAUCAACGCUAUGGUGCAGAAGUUCUGCGGGCACUAUGGUAAGUCCACGCGUACUCGGAGGAGUGGGACGACCGAGGCUGACACGGUACGUUAUCUGUUUUUUUAGCAUGUGGGAGCUUUCCAACUGUCAAUCUGUUUAAAGUUGGUGAUUACACAUAAUUAUUAACCAGUGUGAAUCUGUAUUCUUGCUGUUUAUUUCUUUCUGUGCUGCCUAUUUACUUGCUACACAUUAUAUCAGCUGUGUUGAAUAGAACCUCACAUACCUAGAUGCACUAGAUGGAAGCAGUACAUUAUAUCAGCAGGUAGAAAAUGAAAUGAAAGGAACCUUAAUUCCGAAU